CACGUAGGGUGCGAGCGUUGUCCGGAAUUAUUGGGCGUAAAGAGCUCGUAGGCGGUGUGUCGCGUCGGCCGUGAAAACCUGCAGCUUAACUGUGGGCGUGCGGUCGAUACGGGCAUCACUGGAGUUCGGCAGGGGAGACUGGAAUUCCUGGUGUAGCGGUGAAAUGCGCAGAUAUCAGGAGGAACACCGGUGGCGAAGGCGGGUCUCUGGGCCCUACCUGACGCUGAGACGCGAAAGCGUGGGGAGCGAACCGG
rnacentral:rRNA from 1 species